UGCAGCCUGCAACUCGGCUGCAUGAAGUUGGAAUCGCUAGUAAUCGCGGAUCAGAAUGCCGCGGUGAAUACGUUCCCGGGUCUUGUACACACCGCCCGUCACACCAUGGGAGUCGGGAAUGCCCGAAGUCGGUGACCUAACCGAAAGGGAGGAGCCGCCGAAGGCAGGCCUGGUAACUGGGGUGAAGUCGUAACAAGGUAAC
rnacentral:rRNA from 1 species